rnacentral:tRNA from 1 species
GAGCUCAUCGUCUAAAGGAUAGGACAUAAACCUUCUAAGUUUACAGUGUAGGUUCAAUUCCUACUGAGCUUA